AUUGAACGCUGGCGGCAGGCUUAACACAUGCAAGUCGAGCGGGGUGAUGGUGCUUGCACUAUCACUUAGCGGCGGACGGGUGAGUAAUGCUUAGGAAUCUGCCUAUUAGUGGGGGACAACAUCCCGAAAGGGAUGCUAAUACCGCAUACGUCCUACGGGAGAAAGCAGGGGAUCACUUGUCACCUUGCGCUAAUAGAUGAGCCUAAGUCGGAUUAGCUAGUUGGUGGGGUAAAGGCCUACCAAGGCGACGAUCUGUAGCGGGUCUGAGAGGAUGAUCCGCCACACUGGGACUGAGACACGGCCCAGACUCCUACGGGAGGCAGCAGUGGGGAAUAUUGGACAAUGGGGGGAACCCUGAUCCAGCCAUGCCGCGUGUGUGAAGAAGGCCUUAUGGUUGUAAAGCACUUUAAGCGAGGAGGAGGCUCUUUUGGUUAAUACCCAAGAUGAGUGGACGUUACUCGCAGAAUAAGCACCGGCUAACUCUGUGCCAGCCGCCGCUGUAA
rnacentral:rRNA from 1 species